CCUACGGGAGGCAGCAGUGAGGAAUAUUGGUCAAUGGGCGCGAGCCUGAACCAGCCAAGUAGCGUGAAGGAUGACUGCCCUACGGGUUGUAAACUUCUUUUAUAAAGGAAUAAAGUGAGGCACGUGUGCCUUUUUGUAUGGACUUUAUGAAUAAGGAUCGGCUAACUCCGUGCCAGCAGCCGCGGUAAUACGGAGGAUCCGAGCGUUAUGCGGAGUUAGUGGGUUUCAAGGGAGCGUAGAGGGGUUGUUAAGUCAGUUGUGAAAGUUUUCGGCUCAACCGUAAAAUUGCAAUUGAUACUGGCAGUCUUGCGUACAGUUGCGUUAGGCGGACUUC
rnacentral:rRNA from 1 species